UCUAGGCUGAGAGUCGGAACGGGGUAGAGUCGGGUUUUCCCGACACGGUAUGUCCACAAGCCGGGGUUUCACAUACGUUGUCUGCCGUCUGGUUCUCGAAUUCUACUGGAGAGUAACUGUAGGUAGAGGAGGAACAGAAGGAGCUCACCAGAAAUAGGAGGGAGUUUGUUUAUAACUACACUGCUGUCAUUUUGACCACAUAGUCCACGUCGAGGAAGUUUGAAACAGAAGUGUAAGCGGGUGAGAGCCAAUCAUGUGACAUCAAAGCUCCUGUGCAACAGUCCCCUGGUGCUUCAUGCUCCCAGUCUGGGCACAGUCACACCAAAACUCCAUAAAUCACAACAAAUUGAGGCAGAGCAGCCAGAGGACAUCAGAUAAAGGUUGCCACAGGGAUGGGGCUCCAUCUUCAUUUGUGGGAGUGGCUGGAGCAAAUUACCACAUAUGGAAAUUCAGCUCGGAAUGAAAGCAUACCGAGCCUUUAGUAGAAUAAAACGUUCAAAACAGAGCGUUCAGAAUAGGGGGAUAUUUGAGGUUUUGACUGACAGAUUUUUUUAAAAUAAUUUGACCUCAUUAUUUGAAGCUUUGAUCAUGUUUAACAUGAACAUCAUAGUAACAUUAUAGAAAUGCCAGAAAAUAUGAAAAAGCAUAAUAAAAUGACAUUUGCCUAUGAGGAGUGCCAUCACAUCCAUGUAUUGACUGGUUCUAACAGGAGUUGCUGCUGGAAUGUGCAAAUUUCAUUUUGUGCAGGCACAUCUGAACCCAUGUUCACGUGCAACACGGUUAUUGUUUCCGAGUUGCAGAUUGAUGUUGCCCAUUUGCAUUUAUCAAAAGUAAUAAAAAGUUGUAUUUCACUCUAACACUGGUCAGGCACAAAGUCUGGUAAGUUACCAAAACACAGACAGACCAAGAAACGAACUGCCCAGGUAGUUCAGCUUAAGGAGAUUCAUUGCAAGCCAGCACAAAUGUAACGUAACUUUACUAUUAUUUGCUGACAUCAGACUUUGAGAGGAGAGAGCAAGUAUGCCUGACUACUGUUCCCACAAUUCACUCUCACUGAGUAUUUUUUUCUUCACGUGCCCAAAGGAAUAGUUUCCUCUUUAUCCUUUCAUCAAAGUUGUAAACACUAACACUUACUUUGACACGAAGGUGAGGCGGGGGCUUGCUUAAUUUGCGGGGGCCCUUCAUAAACAGAUGGUCCGGCUCUGUGUACACAUAAAUUGUUAUGGCGUGUAGGAGAUGGCAUGCAUGUUGGUGCGGGGACCAUGCUGAGAUCAUAAGACGUAAGGAAAGGAGUAAGAGUAAUAAGCAGGAAUGGACAAUGAUAAUGACAUAAAUUGAUAAAUAAUUUUAAAUAUAAAUUUGAGGGAGAGGAGGAGGAGGCUGCCGAGGAGCAGCUGGUACUGCACUCCUUAACAAAGGCACCACUUAACCGAUUAGAGGCUUUACUUCUAAAUUUAGAACUGCCUCCUGCUGCACAUACACUAACUCUUCCAUCAGUACUGAACACAUUUCCAUGUCAUAAGUUGUUGGUUUAAUUUCAAUAAUUACAAUGGAGCACACACAAUUACUUUUAAAUAUAGAGGAUUACCGUUUUGGUUAGAUUGGUCACUCUUCCCCGUUUGAGAAGCAUGGCAGUGUCUCUAGCCAGCGGCGUCACACAAAAUUCUGGGCCCUAGUACAUAAGCAGUCUCUGUGGGUCCCCUUCCUCUCUUUGUCCCUGUCUGUCACGCAUUUAAAAUUUGUGAUUUGUAAAAUCAUAUCCACAAAAAUACAGGGGGAUUUGUAAAUCUGCAAUGGGUUUUGGAACCGUCGACCUGUCCAGGGUGUACCCCGCCUUUCGGCCGAUGCCAGCUGGGAUAGGCUCCAGACCCCCGCGACCCUGUACACAGGAUAAACGGUUGACGAUGGAUUGAUGGAUGGCUGGCAUUUGUGGAUCACUUCCCGUGAAUCUGUAGGUCACGUUCUUCUUUUCCUUCUUCUUAAGUUUUUACGCAUUUGUGGAAUUUUGUCUAAUGUGUACUGUAUAAGAGAUAUAAAAUAUACACAAGUAUCUCACUACCCAAAACAUGUAUUUUUACAUUUGCAUUGUGUAAAAUCAUAUCUACAAAAAGACAGUGUGAUUUGCAAAUGUGAACAAUUUAAUAUGAACAUUUAAACAUCUUUUUAUUUCACAUACAAAGUAUGUAUUAUUAUACACACAAAAUAGUUUUUACACAUUCAAUUUGCAGGUCACGUUACAUUUAUGACUUCCUUUUUAUGCAUUUGUGGAGUUUUGUCCAAUCUGUCCAGCCGAGAUCUGUAAAAAGAUAUCUGUAAGUUUAAGAGCAGUUUUGCAGUCUUGCUAAACCAGCAGGUGGCGGUUGCGACAUUGCCUCCCAUGAGUUGACAGGAUAUUCACUACGCUAAGUGAUUUGAGAUACCAUUUAUUUCCUAUAAUACAGUCGACUGGUAUUGCCGAUACCAAUACCAAUACUUUUUACAACAACAGUAUCCACACAGAAAUACAGACAGUAAAGUAAUAGUGGUACAGACUGAAAAUAAAUAU